rnacentral:rRNA from 1 species
AAACCAGCACCUCAAGUGGUCAGGAUGAUUAUUGGGCCUAAAGCAUCCGUAGCCGGCUCUGUAAGUUUUCGGUUAAAUCUGUAUGCUCAACAUACAGGCCGCCGGGAAUACUGCAGAGCUAGGGAGUGGGAGAGGUAGACGGUACUCGGGAGGAAGUGGUAAAAUGCUUUGAUCUCUCGAUGACCACCUGUGGCGAAGGCGGUCUACCAGAACACGUCCGACGGUGAGGGAUGAAAGCUGGGGGAGCAAACCGGAUUAGAUACCCGAGUAGUCC